rnacentral:rRNA from 1 species
AACGGCUCAUUAAAUCAGUCUUGGUUUAUUUGGUCUCUGAAUACGAAAGUGGAUAACUGUGGCAAUUCCAGAGCUAAUACAUGCGAUUAAGCGCCGACUCCGGGAGGCGCGCUUUUAUUGGUUCAAAACCGACCGGGCCUUCGCGGGCCCGUCUCUUUUGAUGACUCUGGAUAACCACGCGGAUCGCACGGUCUCCGAGCCGGCGACGUACCAUUCAAGUGUCUGACCUAUCAACUUUCGAAGGUAAGCUACGGGCCUACCUUUGUGAUAACGGGUGACGGGGAAUCAGGGUUCGAUUCCGGAGAGGGAGCCUGAGAAACGGCUACCACAUCCAAGGAAGGCAGCAGGCGCGCAAAUUACCCAUUCCCGACACGGGGAGGUAGUGACGAAAAAUAACAAUACGGGACUCUAACGAGGCCCCGUAAUUGGAAUGAGUACAUUCUAAAACUCUUAACGAGUAUCCAUUGGAGGGCAAGUCUGGUGCCAGCAGCCGCGGUAAUUCCAGCUCCAAAAGUGUAUGCUAAAGUUGUUGCGGUUGAAAAGCUCGUAGUUGGAUAUAGAGCUGGCGCGGCCGGUCCGUCGCAGGGCGUGCACUGGUCGCGUCGUCUCCGCCUUCGGUUCUCCGCGGGUGCUCUUGACUGAGUGCGCGCGGUGGCCGACAAGUUUACUUUGAAAAAAUUAGAGUGUUCAAAGCAGGCCGGUCGCCUGCAUAGUGUUGCAUGGAAUAAUGGAAUAGGACCUCGGUUCUAUUUUGUUGGUUUUCGGAAGCGAGGUAAUGAUUAAGAGGGACAGCCGGGGGCGUCC